rnacentral:rRNA from 1 species
GUGGGGAAUUUUGGACAAUGGGCGCAAGCCUGAUCCAGCAAUGCCGCGUGCAGGAAGAAGGCCUUCGGGUUGUAAACUGCUUUUGUACGGAACGAAACGGUCCGGGUUAAUACCCUGGGCUAAUGACGGUACCGUAAGAAUAAGCACCGGCUAACUACGUGCCAGCAGCCGCGGUAAUACGUAGGGGGCAAGCGUUAAUCGGAAUUACUGGGCGUAAAGCGUGCGCAGGCGGUUUUGUAAGACAGGCGUGAAAUCCCCGGGCUCAACCUGGGAAUUGCGCUUGUGACUGCAAGGCUGGAGUGCGGCAGAGGGGGAUGGAAUUCCGCGUGUAGCAGUGAAAUGCGUAGAUAUGCGGAGGAACACCGAUGGCGAAGGCAAUCCCCUGGGCCUGCACUGACGCUCAUGCACGAAAGCGUGGGGAGCAAACAGGAUUAGAUACCCGAGUAGUCC